rnacentral:tRNA from 1 species
GGGGUGUUAGCUCAGCUGGGAGAGCACCUGCCUUGCACGCAGGGGGUCAGGAGUUCGAUUCUCCUACGCUCCACCA